rnacentral:rRNA from 1 species
GAUGAACGCUGGCGGCGUCCCUAAUACAUGCAAGUCGAGCGAACAGACGAGGAGCUUGCUCCUCUGACGUUAGCGGCGGACGGGUGAGUAACACGUGGAUAACCUACCUAUAAGACUGGGAUAACUUCGGGAAACCGGAGCUAAUACCGGAUAAUAUAUUGAACCGCAUGGUUCAAUAGUGAAAGACGGUUUUGCUGUCACUUAUAGAUGGAUCCGCGCCGCAUUAGCUAGUUGGUAAGGUAACGGCUUACCAAGGCAACGAUGCGUAGCCGACCUGAGAGGGUGAUCGGCCACACCGGAACUGAGACACGGUCCAGACUCCUACGGGAGGCAGCAGUAGGGAAUCUUCCGCAAUGGGCGAAAGCUUGACGGAGCAACGCCGCGUGAGUGAUGAAGGUCUUCGGAUCGUAAAACUCUGUUAUUAGGGAAGAACAAAUGUGUAAGUAACUAUGCACGUCUUGACGGUACCUAAUCAGAAAGCCACGGCUAACUACGUG